rnacentral:rRNA from 1 species
CGAAGCCUGACGGAGCAAUACCGCGUGAGGGAAGAAGGCUUUUGGGUUGUAAACCUCUUUUAUCAGGGAAGAAGAAUUGACGGUACCUGAAGAAAAAGCAUCGGCUAACUCCGUGCCAGCAGCCGCGGUAAUACGGAGGAUGCAAGCGUUAUCCGGAAUCAUUGGGCGUAAAGGGUCCGCAGGUGGCGAAUAAAGUCUGCUGUUAAAGACCGGGGCUUAACUCCGGAAAGGCAGUGGAAACUGAUUAGCUAGAGUACGGUAGGGGUAGAGGGAAUUCCCAGUGUAGCGGUGAAAUGCGUAGAUAUUGGGAAGAACACCGGUGGCGAAAGCGCUCUACUAGGCCGAAACUGACACUGAGGGACGAAAGCUAGGGUAGCGAAAGGGAUUAGAUACCCCUGUAGUCUUAGCGGUAAACGAUGGAUACUAGGUGUAGCUUGUAUCGACCCGAGCUGUGCCGAAGCUAACGCGAUAUGUAUCCCGCCUGGGGAGUACGCACGCAAGUGUGAAACUCAAAGGAAUUGACGGGGGCCCGCACAAGCGGUGGAGUAUGUGGUUUAAUUCGAUGCAACGCGAAGAACCUUACCAGGGCUUGACAUGUCGCGAAUCUAGCGGAAACGUUAGAGUGCCUUAGGGAAUGCGAACACAGGUGGUGCAUGGCUGUCGUCAGCUCGUGUCGUGAGAUGUUGGGUUAAGUCCCGCAACGAGCGCAACCCUCGUCCUUAGUUGCCAAUAUUAAGUUAGGCACUCUAGGGAGACUGCCGGGGACAACUCGGAGGAAGGUGGGGAUGACGUCAAGUCAGCAUGCCCCUUACGUCCUGGGCGACACACGUACUACAAUGGUUGGGACAAAGGGCAGCAAGCUCGCGAGAGUAAGCGAAUCUCAUCAAACCCAGCCACAGUUCAGAUUGCAGGCUGCAACUCGCCUGCAUGAAGUAGGAAUCGCUAGUAAUCGCAGGUCAGCAUACUGCGGUGAAUUCGUUCCCGGGCCUUGUACACACCGCCCGUCACACCAUGGAAGCUGGCUACGCCCGAAGUCGUUACCCUAACCCGGUUUUGGGAGGGGGAUGCCGAAGGUAGAGCUAGUGACUGGGGUGAAGUCGUAACAAGGUAGCCGUACCGGAAGGUGUGGCUGGAUCACCUCCUUU